UGCAAGUCGAGCGAACGGAUAAGGAGCUUGCUCCUUUGAAGUUAGCGGCGGACGGGUGAGUAACACGUGGGUAACCUACCUAUAAGACUGGGAUAACUUCGGGAAACCGGAGCUAAUACCGGAUAACAUUUAGAACCGCAUGGUUCUAAAGUGAAAGAUGGUUUUGCUAUCACUUAUAGAUGGACCCGCGCCGUAUUAGCUAGUUGGUAAGGUAACGGCUUACCAAGGCGACGAUACGUAGCCGACCUGAGAGGGUGAUCGGCCACACUGGAACUGAGACACGGUCCAGACUCCUACGGGAGGCAGCAGUAGGGAAUCUUCCGCAAUGGGCGAAAGCCUGACGGAGCAACGCCGCGUGAGUGAUGAAGGGUUUCGGCUCGUAAAACUCUGUUAUUAGGGAAGAACAAAUGUGUAAGUAACUGUGCACAUCUUGACGGUACCUAAUCAGAAAGCCACGGCUAACUACGUGCCAGCAGCCGCGGUAAUACGUAGGUGGCAAGCGUUAUCCGGAAUUAUUGGGCGUAAAGCGCGCGUAGGCGGUUUCUUAAGUCUGAUGUGAAAGCCCACGGCUCAACCGUGGAGGGUCAUUGGAAACUGGGAAACUUGAGUGCAGAAGAGGAAAGUGGAAUUCCAUGUGUAGCGGUGAAAUGCGCAGAGAUAUGGAGGAACACCAGUGGCGAAGGCGACUUUCUGGUCUGUAACUGACGCUGAUGUGCGAAAGCGUGGGGAUCAAACAGGAUUAGAUACCCUGGUAGUCCACGCCGUAAACGAUGAGUGCUAAGUGUUA
rnacentral:rRNA from 3 species